rnacentral:rRNA from 1 species
AUGCUGGUUCUACAGUGGUUAUCCCCAUUGUGGAAGGCACCACUGCCCCUGAAGAUUAAGAUUUUUGUAUGGCAGCUUCUCCGAGACCGUCUGCCUUCGAGGACCGAGGUGCUGAAACGCCAUGGUCCGGGCAAUGGCCUUUGCCCUUUGUGCCAUGUCCCGGAAACGGGAACGCGCAUUUCGUUUUCUUGCGUAGCAGCGCAGGCACUUUGGUGCUUUGUUCGUGAGGCUCUAGGGCCAGAGUGGGAGGCUCAGGACCUUGCAGAGUUUCUGCACGUUAGGGCUACUCAGGUUGGCCGUAAGCGCCGACUGUUCUGGCUCAUCUUUGCGGCUAUGAUGUGGACUCUCUGGACUACUCGCAACAAGAUGGUGAUUGAGCGGGUGUUCCCGCGGCGUGCUUCUGACUCGUUCUUCAAAUUUCUUGCCUUCCUGGAGCACCGGCAUCCGCUCGUUAGGCUGAGGGAUCGCGAUCGCCUUCAGCUUUUCCUGGACGCCCUGGUGUCUACCGCGCGUCGGCUCUCCGACCGCUCGCCGGUUCCGUAG